rnacentral:rRNA from 1 species
GACGAACGCUGGCGGCGUGCCUAAUACAUGCAAGUUGAGCGCUGAAGGUUGGUACUUGUACCAACUGGAUGAGCAGCGAACGGGUGAGUAACGCGUGGGGAAUCUGCCUUUGAGCGGGGGACAACAUGUGGAAACGAAUGCUAAUACCGCAUAAAAACUUUAAACACAAGUUUUAAGUUUGAAAGAUGCAAUUGCAUCACUCAAAGAUGAUCCCGCGUUGUAUUAGCUAGUUGGUGAGGUAAAGGCUCACCAAGGCGAUGAUACAUAGCCGACCUGAGAGGGUGAUCGGCCACAUUGGGACUGAGACACGGCCCAAACGCCUACGGGAGGCAGCAGUAGGGAAUCUUCGGCAAUGGACGAAAGUCUGACCGAGCAACGCCGCGUGAGUGAAGAAGGUUUUCGGAUCGUAAAACUCUGUUGGUAGAGAAGAACGUUGGUGAGAGUGGAAAGCUCAUCAAGUGACGGUAACUACCCAGAAAGGGACGGCUAACUACGUG